UUUAGGGAGACCUACACCCCUCAGAAAUCGAAAACACACAGUGAAUAGAAACUGAGUUGGUCUAACCUAGGUCGGUCGCAACAUUUGCUGAACUUUCAAACUAUAGAUUUGGUUCGGAGAACGGGCUAUUAGCUCAGGUGGUUAGAGCGCACCCCUGAUAAGGGUGAGGUCCCUGGUUCGAGUCCAGGAUGGCCCACCUGAAAAUAAUUAGUAAUUAGUAAUGCGUAAUUCGUAAUUAAUUACGAACUGCGAAUUAAAGAUUAAGAAUUAUUUGGAUGGGGGUUUAGCUCAGUUGGUAGAGCGCCUGCUUUGCAAGCAGGAUGUCAGCGGUUCGAGUCCGCUAAUCUCCACCUAACUAAAAACAUCAAUAAAUAGAGGAAAAAAGUUCAGCAACAUGGCUAGAACAAGCCAGACUGCUGGGUGAAAGUCCAGCCAGAACCUUGAAAACUGCAUAAGUAACGCGAAAAAAGCAGGCAGACACAGACAUUCAAGAAGUGAAAGUGUUUGCAGUGGAAAACCAAUUGUAUUGU
rnacentral:tRNA from 1 species